GUGUUCCAGUUGUGGUUGUAGAAUGAGUUGGUGUUGUUGUAGUAAAACCUGUUGUUGUAGUAGGUGUUUCAGGUGUAGUUGUAGAAUGAGUUGGUGUUGUAGUCGGUGUUCCACUUGUAGUUGUAGAAUGAGUCGGUGUUGUUGUAGUAGAACCCGUUGUUGUAGUCGGGGUUGUAGUUGUAGAAUGAGUUGGUGUUGUUGUAGU